UUAAAAGACCUAGCAAUAGGUAUGCUUAGGGAAGAGCUUGCGUCACAUUAGUUAGUUGGUGGGGUAAUGGCCUACCAAGACGAUGAUGUGUAGCCGGGCUGAGAGGUCGAACGGCCACAUUGGGACUGAGACACGGCCCAAACUCCUACGGGAGGCAGCAGUAAGGAAUUUUCGGCAAUGGAGGAAACUCUGACCGAGCAAUGCCGCGUGAACGAUGAAGUAUUUUGGUACGUAAAGUUCUUUUAUUAGGGAAGAAAAGAUGGUGGAAAAACCAUUAUGACGGUACCUAAUGAAUAAGCCCCGGCUAACUAUGUGCCAGCAGCCGCGGUAAUACAUAGGGGGCAAGCGUUAUCYGGAAUUAUUGGGCGUAAAGGGUGCGUAGGCGGUUAAAUAAGUUUAUGGUCUAAGUGCAACGCUCAACGUUGUGAUGCUAUAAAAACUGUUUAGCUAGAGUUGGAUAGAGGCAAGUGGAAUUCCGUGUGUAGUGGUAAAAUGCGUAAAUAUACGGAGGAACACCAGAAGCGAAGGCGGCUUGCUGGGUCUUAACUGACGCUGAGGCACGAAAGCGUGGGGAGCAAACAGGAUUAGAUACCCUGGUAGUCCACGCCCUAAACGAUGAGUACUAAACGUUGGAUAAAACCAGUGUUGAAGUUAACACAUUAAGUACUCCGCCUGAGUAGUACGUACGCAAGUAUGAAACUUAAAGGAAUUGACGGGACUCCGCACAAGCGGUGGAUCAUGUUGUUUAAUUCGAAGGUACCCGAAAAACCUCACCAGGUCUUGACAUGCUUUUGCAAAGCUGUAGAAAUACAGUGGAGGUUAUCAGAAGCACAGGUGGUGCAUGGUUGUCGUCAGCUCGUGUCGUGAGAUGUUGGGUUAAGUCCCGCAACGAGCGCAACCCUUGUUGUYAAUUGCCAUCAUUAAGUUGGGGACUUUAGCAAGACUGCCAAUGAUAAAUUGGAGGAAGGUGGGGACGACGUCAAAUCAUCAUGCCCCUUAUGACCUGGGCUACAAACGUGAUACAAUGGCUGUUACAAAGGGYAGCUAAAGCGUAAGCUUCUGGCGAAUCUCAAAAAAACAGUCUCAGUUCGGAUUG
rnacentral:rRNA from 1 species